CCAAUAGCGUAUAUUAAAGUUGUUGCAGUUAAAAAGCUCGUAGUUGAAUUUCGGGGUUAGUAGGUUGGUCGUGCCACUGGUAUGUACUGGCUUUACUGAUUCCUCCUUCUUGAAGAACUGUAAUGUCAUUAAUUUGGUGUUGCAGGGAAACAGGACUGUUACUUUGAAAAAAUUAGAGUGUUUAAAGCAGGCUAACGCCUGAAUACAUUAGCAUGGAAUAAUGAAAUAGGACGUUUGAUCCUAUUUUGUUGGUUUCUAGGAUUGACGUAAUGAUUAAUAGGGAUAGUUGGGGGCAUUAGUAUUCAAUUGUCAGAGGUGAAAUUCUUGGAUUUAUUGAAGACUAACUACUGCGAAAGCAUUUGCCAAGGAUGUUUUCAUUAAUCAAGAACGAAAGUUAGGGGAUCGAAGACGAUCAGAUACCGUCGUAGUCUUAACCAUAAACUAUGCCGACUAGGGAUCGGAUGAUGUUAAUUUUUUAAUGACUCAUUCGGCGCCUUACG
rnacentral:rRNA from 1 species